GACUAAUCGAGUAAGUGGCAUUCGGGAUUGUGGCCUAUUCGGGAAAAUGACUUACGGGGAUGUGGACGAUUAGGGGAAAUGGGAAAUUCGGGUAAAUGGAAUUCAGGGAAAUGACUUUUAGGGGAAGUGUCUUUUCGGGGAAGUGGCAUUCGGGGAAAUGUCCCUUCGGUAAUAUGGGUUUCGGGGAAAUGUCAUAGAUUCUCUAUAAGACCUCUCCUACAAUUUUGUUGGACAUUGUUUGCUUCUUAGAGCAUAAGUUUUGGAAUUAUUUUCAAAGUACUGCAAAUAUUUUAUAUUUGCACAAAAGCAUCUCACACGAGCAGUCGCGCCGGUGUACUUUGUACACACAUCCAAAAAUUUAUUUUUCAAAAAAUCAUUAAAAAUAGGUUUUACUCCAGAAAUUUGACUUUUCAUAUGUUUUCUUAUAGAAAAAUGUGUAACUUGAGCAUACACCUGGGUUUCACGCAUUUUGAAUAAAGAAAACACAUUGUUUUUCAACAAUUUUCAAAAGUUGUGUACAAAGUACACUAGCGCGACCUCCCGAAGGUUAAUGGCCUAACAACAACCAAGGCCGGGACCGACAUUUUACUUCCUCAUCCGAUGGAAGGUUGGAGCAGAUGGGAAUCGAACCCACGCACUGCCAGGUCAUUUAUCUAACAUCCGGAUAUAUGCGAACACAAUUUUGUAUACAUAACUUUUGAACUAUUUAUCGAAACUUAUAUUUUGUUGAAACUCGAUCUAUGGGACCCUAAACCAAGUCAAAUGCCCGGUUUGGUCUAAAUCGGUUCAGCCAGUGCUGAAAAAACUGAGUGACAAUUUUGGUAACACAACACACAGUGGAUUUUGGAUAAUCCAUUAUUAGUCAAAAGUUACAGCCAUCUAAUGAUAAAAAAAAUCUGAUUCAAAAAACUUCAACUACAGGUACUUGUGAAAUCUCAUGGGUGAGGUAAAAAUACUCGUAAUAAAUUAUCAAUAUUAAAAAAAAGCGAUCAAGUGAAGACUGUUUUCAAUAGAACUUUGUUUAAACAAUUUCAAAUAAGAAAUCAUCCUUAGUCCGUAGUACUUGUUUGAACACAGUUUUGUUGAACAAAGCCUCUGACGGGUGGUCUUAUUGUCAAUUUCAAAAACCAAACAUUUGUUCAAUGAAAAAUAACCGUAAUAUUUUUGUCAAAUUAGGCCUAAUAUUUGAAUAAAAAUAACUUAAAUCUUUUAAGCUGGACCUCUUCAUUAGCACAAACUGGCUUUGAAAAUCGAAUUUGAAAACAUUUAAAGCACUGACCUAUAACAAAAUCAAUUACAUAUUUAAACAAGAAUGUCUAGUCUGCAAACUAUUAUUGCUAGCGGUUCAAACCUGCCAACCUUUUUGCGGGGCCAGGUCACCUUUGCUUGUAUUGUCAAACACCAACACUUUUAUGCAAAUGUUAGCUUAGGACGAACACUCUCGGGUGUAUUCGUUGUAUUUGAGAGUCGGCCUUUUUCCAUGAAUCUGCUACGGUGCGUGCCUCGACUCACCCACUUCCGUUGCCGAUUUUCAUAGUUUUGCUUUUAUUUUUCUAAACCAGAAUCAACCGAAUUCGAAGGAUGAAAGGGCGAACUAGUCUAAACGAAAAACACAGUUGUUUGUGUUGGUGUUUCUAUGUUUGCACAAUGCUGCUGGCAAACACACACAUUUUUCAGAUUUAUAUAUUUAUAUACAAGCAACACCUCCUGUGAAUUUCAAAAAUUGAAUGCAGAUAUUUUGAGAAACCUUGCGCAUCAUCAGUAUUUAGUAGGGAGAGCAACUAAUUGAAAAUCAGUGAGACAAGAUUAUUUGUAAUUAGAGCAAAUUAAGAACAAAAAAAGUGUGUUCAACAGAUCCUAGGGCAAAAAAGGAAAAAACAAAACUGUUGUUAGUAGAGCAAAUCUAGUAUUAAGAGUUAGUCUAACCAAUGUAGAGAAAAAGCAACAAGAUAUUCCUUUACACCAGAAAGCAACAAAGAAAACGUUCCCAACAUGAAUGGAGUUAGAAAUGUUGUUCUGUUCUAUGGCAUAAUACGGGUGAGCUACACAUAAUAUCAAAUGUGAAGUGUGUGUUCUGCGAAACAAGAAGACAUAAUCAAACUGAUAUGAUUUCAAACAGUAGCUGUAAUACAACCUAGCAAUGUACAUAACUUGAGUUCUAACAACAAAAUCAAGAGCAAGAAAAUAAAUGCACCAAAUCAUGCUUGAAAAACUCAAACACACACUGAAUGUCGAGAUGAGUGUAAGUGUACCCGAGCAAAGAAAUCAUAAGCAAAUAUGGAGAACCUACCUAUGUUUUGUAAUAUAUUUACGACGAAAAAGUAGCACCAAAUUCUCCAAACAACACGUUGGAUGUAGCAAUAGCAAAUAACAAAGAGGAAAAAAAGUUGUUAACCCAGACACUUGUUUGAAAAUAUAUACAUAUUAAUGUUGACAGGAUGUGUCUGAGAGGGGCAAGGAGCAACCGAAAAUCUCACUAAAAUACUAGUCGUGCUAGCUUAGUUAUCAAAUGAAACAAACACACACACACAAAAGAUAUCACUAUCAAAAUGUUGGAUUGACGUGGUUGGAUGGAAUUGCCGAAGUGAGAUGUUUUACUGUGGGUAGGAACUGUUUUCGGUUAUUGAAAGAGACUUUAUACAAUUGUUUGAUUUUGUUUGGAAGCAAGCUUCCAGGAAUAUUUUUACCGUUGUUGGUGGCUUUAUUGGAUGUACAUAGUGAACGAUUUUAUUAUUGAAAAUAAAGCAAUACAUUCACUACUUUUUGUAAAUUUCCUAUGUUUUAUUUGAAUUCACCUAAAUAACUUAAUCGUGAAUGAUUUCUGUUUAAAACCACUGUAGAAACUAUAAGUUGAAAUAUCAAAAAACACCAAAAAACAUUAAUGAGAAUCGUAUCUUAAACACAUAAAAAUAGAAUCAAAAUGACAAUCCAAAAAGGGUUAGCUUUAUUUCCUUUCAUUUUAGAGCACGCACACCAGCAAGGGAACUGAAAUAAAAGAAUGUCGCUUGUGCGCUAUCUUGUGAUACUUCCGAGUAGAUGUGUCACAAGUUAGUAUGCUUACUUUAUGUCUACAUAUUUAUUUCAAAACUACUAGAGUUUAUUUUUUCUCUAUUUGGCUGUUUUCCCAUUUCUGAACGCAAUAAAGAAACUGAUGAAUUCAA